AGCAGUAGCCACGGUAAUACGAAGGGGGCUAGCGUUGCUCGGAAUGACUGGGCGUAAAGGGCGCGUAGGCGGAUGGCACAGUCAGAUGUGAAAUUCCCGGGCUUAACCUGGGGGCUGCAUUUGAUACGUGUUGUCUAGAGUGAGGAAGAGGGUCGUGGAAUUCCCAGUGUAGAGGUGAAAUGCGUAGAUAUCGGAAGGAACACCUGUGGCGAAAGCGGCUCACUGGACCAUUUCUGACGCUGAUGCACGAAAGCUAGGGGAGCAAAUGGGAUUAGAUACCCCAGUAGUCCCUGUCUCUUAUAC
rnacentral:rRNA from 1 species